CAGUCGCCGCGGGAAUACGUAGGGCGCAAGCGUUGUCCGGAAUUAUUGGGCGUAAAGAGCUCGUAGGCGGUCUGUCGCGUCUGGUGUGAAAUCCCGAGGCUCAACCUCGGGCUUGCAUCGGGUACGGGCAGACUAGAGUGCGGUAGGGGAGACUGGAAUUCCUGGUGUAGCGGUGGAAUGCGCAGAUAUCAGGAGGAACACCGAUGGCGAAGGCAGGUCUCUGGGCCGCAACUGACGCUGAGGAGCGAAAGCAUGGGGAGCGAACAGGAUUAGAUACCCCGGUAGUCCCUGUCUCUUAUAA
rnacentral:rRNA from 1 species